rnacentral:rRNA from 1 species
UACGUAGGGCGCAAGCGUUGUCCGGAAUUAUUGGGCGUAAAGAGCUCGUAGGCGGCCUGUCGCGUCCGCUGUGAAAUCCCGGGGCUUAACCCCGGGCGUGCAGUGGAUACGGGCUGGCUAGAGGCAGGCAGGGGAGAACGGAAUUCCCGGUGUAGCGGUGAAAUGCGCAGAUAUCAGGAGGAACACCGGUGGCGAAGGCGGCGAUCUGGGUCGAUACUGACGCUGAGGUGCGAAAGCGUGGGGAGCGAACAGG